UCAGACGAUGCGUCAUGCAUAUCAAUAAGCGGAGGAAAAGAAACUAACAAGGAUUCCCUUAGUAACGGCGAGUGAAGCGGGAAGAGCUCAAAUUUGAAAUCUUCAAGGUUUUACCUUGACGAAUUGUAGUUUAAAGAAGUGUUUUCUGUUGAAGUUUUGGUAAAAGUUCUUUGGAAUAGGACAUCAUAGAGGGUGAGAAUCCCGUAUUUGACCAUUAUUUUCAGCUGUGUGAUACACUUUCAAAGAGUCGGAUUGUUUGGGAAUGCAGUCCAAAAUGGGUGGUAAAUUUCAUCUAAAGCUAAAUACUGGCGAGAGACCGAUAGCGAACAAGUACCGUGAGGGAAAGAUGAAAAGAACUUUGAAAAGAGAGUUAAACAGUACGUGAAAUUGUCAAAAGGGAAGCGUUUGACACCAGUGUUGUUUUCUCGAAAAUCAAUUAAAAAGAGUUGGAUUUUGUGUUGUAUUGGCCUUAACAGCUUGCUUCACUCUUUUCCUGCUUUUUUUAAUGCACUUUUCGUUUAACAAGUCAACAUCAGUUUCUUUUGUUGUAAAAGGGUCAUUGGAAGGUGGCUUUCUCUUCGGAGAAAGUGUUUAUAGCCUUUGAUCUCUGCAAUCGGAGAGACUGAGGUCUGCAGCGUAGAUCCUUCGGGGUUAGAUACAUUUGUGCUAAGCUACAGCUUUUCAUAGACAACUUGUUGACUAUGUUUAGUCUUGUAACUUACCCGCUUAUGCUAUUUUACCUACGCUUAGGAUGUUGAUAUGCAUGACUGAUAU
rnacentral:rRNA from 1 species